rnacentral:rRNA from 1 species
UACACACCGCCCGUCACACCACGAAAGUUUGUUGUACCUGAAGUCGUCGACGCCAACCGCAAGGAGGCAGACGCCCACGGUAUGACCGAUGAUUGGGGUGAAGUCGUAACAAGGUACCC